GAAAUGCGAUACGUAAUGUGAAUUGCAAAUUCAGUGAAUCAUCGAGUCUUUGAACGCACAUUGCGCCCCCUGGUAUUCCGGGGGGCAUGCCUGUCCGAGCGUCAUUUCUGCCCUCAAGCACGGCUUGUGUGUUGGGCCCCGUCCUCCGAUCCCGGGGGACGGGCCCGAAAGGCAGCGGCGGCACCGCGUCCGGUCCUCGAGCGUAUGGGGCUUUGUCACCCGCUCUGUAGGCCCGGCCGGCGCUUGCCGAUCAACCCAAAUUUUUAUCCAGGUUGACCUCGGAUCAGGUGGGAUACCCGCUGAACUUAAGC
rnacentral:misc_RNA from 1 species